UACGUAGGGGGCAAGCGUUAUCCGGAUUUACUGGGUGUAAAGGGAGUGUAGACGGUGUGGCAAGUCUGAUGUGAAAGGCAUGGGCUCAACCUGUGGACUGCAUUGGAAACUGUCAUACUUGAGUGCCGGAGGGGUAAGCGGAAUUCCUAGUGUAGCGGUGAAAUGCGUAGAUAUUAGGAGGAACACCAGUGGCGAAGGCGGCUUACUGGACGGUAACUGACGUUGAGGCUCGAAAGCGUGGGGAGCAAACAGG
rnacentral:rRNA from 1 species